CUGGUUCUUGUCUGGGUUUCUCCCCUUCCGCGGCCGUCCGGCCCGGAGCACUACAGUGUUACUGCAGCCUUCUUGAACGUUUCGAAGUUGAAGUAGCCAAGCUAUUAGAUUACACUUUGUGCCUAAAGACUGAAUCGUGUAGGAUUAAAAAAGAAACGAGAUUGCCUGGGGAUUUUGUGAGUGCAAACGAAACCUGUAGAAGAAAAUUUGAAGCAAGUAAUAAGCCUGGUGGAUACCAUGAAGAUCAGGAUAAGAAGCUGGAAAAAUGUAUUCUGCGAUGCAGAACGCCUCCACAAAAUCUACAAUAUUGGCUACUAGAAGAAGUGGCCAUAGACGGCACAAGUUGCGGUAAUAGAAAGAUCUGCAAAGCUGAAAAGUGUGUUUCAUCCAGAUAAAAGUCAAGACAGCGUUCACGCCUCAAAAUAAAGUUGUUCCAGCGAGAAAUC